CUACCGGGCGACCGGAUGCGGAUCUCGAAAGCCUGUCCCAGUUCGGACUGGAGUCUGCAACCCGACUCCACGAAGUUGGAUUCGCUAGUAAUCGCGCAUCAGCCAUGGCGCGGUGAAUACGUUCCCGGGCCUUGUACACACCGCCCGUCACACCAUGAGAGUCGAUAACACCCGAAGCCUGUGAGCUAACCGCAAGGGGGCAGCAGUCGAAGGUGGGGUUGAUGAUUGGGGUGAAGUCGUAACAAGGUACC
rnacentral:rRNA from 1 species